rnacentral:misc_RNA from 1 species
UUUCCGUAGGUGAAUCUGCGGUAGGAUCAUUCAUAAUAAAGUGUUUUAUGGCACUUUUUAAAAAUCCAUAUCCACCUUGUGUGCAAUGUUAGAUCUCGUCAAUCUUGGCGAGAUUUUUAUACAUCAACUCAUUCUUUAACUAAUUUGUCUGAAAAAUAUUAUGAAUACUUAAUUCAAAAUACAACUUUCAACAACGGAUCUCUUGGCUCUC